GAGGAGGAGAGAUACAGGACAAAAAAUAACAUUACCUUUCAAAGGAUCCUAAUGCUAGGAAUAUGGUUAUUUAUUUUCAACAAUGUGAAUGUCUCAGUUGAGCUUUAUUUAUUUGUAUUCAGUACAUGUGGAUUCUUUGGUAAAUUAAUAGCAUUUCGGUGCAGGCUUUGCAAACAAACUUUUACGAUAUGGACUCAGCAGUAAUUCAACAACAUGUUUCUCUCCAGUUUGUAUCUGGAUCUCUUUGGCUUCUGAUAGAAGACAUCAUACAGGUUUCAGCACCAUGGAUAGAGAAAUUAAACAGAUUGAUCUGUAUCAUCUUGGCAUGUCUACAAAAGUGAAUACCAAAGAAGAUUUUCAACAUGAUCAUGUGAUCAGAAGGAAUUUUUGUGGCUUUAUCAAUCUUCAUGCCUGUACUUUAUGUUUGGUGGGUAAAUGCUCAGACUGGCGCUCUAGUUGGAAGCGAUAGUCUUAUCGAUCCAGGAGCGCAGUUGGGAGAUGCGAGCGUAUACUACUGGGUAAAGAGUGUUACAAGUGCUGGUGCCCCAGGACACAGACCCCACCAGAGACCAGACCCCU